GGGUGCGAUCAUACCACCACUAAUGCACCGAAUCCCAUCAGAACUCCGCUGUUAAGCAUGCUUGGGCGAGAGUAGUACUAGGAUGGGUUACCUCCCGGGAAGUUGUCGUGUUGCACCCC
rnacentral:rRNA from 1 species